UCCAUCAGCUGACCUGCUGGGAGUGUUCUC
rnacentral:piRNA from 1 species